CCGCCCGCCCGCGCACCUCCAACCCACCUGCCGCCGGCCAGACAGGAAUGGACUGUGUGACUGAAUGAAAUGGCGGGGCCAUAAGCCAUCCAAGGAGCCGCCUCCGUGAAGUUAUAGGCUCGCGGGGUACAAGGAGAAAAAAACAAUCCAGCUCCAACGGUACUGAUGUGACAGGAGGUUGUCACAGCAGAGCGGAAGAUCUGGCAGAAAGACGCUGGGAAAGAAGACACUAGGGGAAAACAUCAGAAAGUUCGGAUGAUGAAAACUCACCUCACGCCACAACAAUCUCUCAGAUUCCAUGACCCUGUGUCUCUAGUCCU
rnacentral:lncRNA from 1 species